rnacentral:rRNA from 1 species
ACGGGGAGGUAGUGACGAAAAAUAACGAUACGGGACUCAUCCGAGGCCCCGUAAUCGGAAUGAGUACACUUUAAAUCCUUUUACAAGGAUCAAUUGGAGGGCCAGUCUGGUGCCAGCAGCCGCRGUAACACCAGCUCCAAUAGCGUAUAUUAAAGUUGUUGCGGUUAAAAAGCUCGUAGUCGAAUCUGUGUCCCGCGCCGCUGGUUCAUCGCUCGCGGUGUCAAACUGGCGUGUCUCGCGGGACGUCCUGUCGGUGGGCUCUUCGGGUUGUUCGUUUCGGCGGCAGUUCGAGGCCCAACUCGUAUUCGUCUUUGUACGGGUGCGAAUCUCAUCGCGGUGCUCUUUAUUGAGUGUCGAGGUGGGCCGGCACAAUUACUUUGAACAAAUUAGAGUGCUUAAAGCAGGCCAAUUUUGCCUGAAUAUUGUGUGCAUGGAAUAAUGUAAUAGGACCUCGGUUCUAUUUUGUUGGUUUUUGGAACACCGAGGUAAUGAUUAAUAGGAACGGAUGGGGGCAUUCGUAUUGCGACGUUAGAGGUGAAAUUCUUGGAUCGUCGCAAGACGGACAUAAGCGAAAGCAUUUGCCAAAAACGCUUUCAUUGAUCAAGAACGAAAGUUAGAGGCUCGAAGGCGAUCAGAUACCGCCCUAGUUCUAACCAUAAACGAUGCCAGCUAGCGAUCCGCCGACGUUCCUCCGAUGACUCGGCGGGCAGCUUCCGGGUAACCAAAGCUUUUGGGUUCCGGGGGAAGUAUGGUUGCAAAGCUGAAACUUAAAGGAAUUGACGGAAGGGAACCACAAGGAGKGGAGCCUGCGGCUUAAUUUGACUCAACACGGGAAAUCUUAUUAGGUCC